rnacentral:lncRNA from 1 species
AUGACAGGCAGAGUUCGCCACUGUGGCCGCCGCUGCCGUCCUGGCCGCUGGAACUGCUCACCGCAUCUCAGGCGGGCUUCCAGCGAGAGGAAGGAUUUCAGAAUCCAAGGCUGUACGAGGAGUGUCCUCCCAACCACUGACAGCACCAGAAUCUCUCGGCUUCAGGAAGUGGAAGGGGCAGGAGUCAUUGGUAAUUUGCUCUUUAAGCUUUUUGUGCCUGUUGAUUACUUUCUGGUUGCUUGGAUUAAACAAUCGUUGCAAAUAUGCAAACCACUGAGAGGAGAUUCAUACAUAUUCGUUCUCCAAUUGUUCCUCUUGACGUCAGAUCAUAAUUUCCUGGUAAUUGGACAGCUUGCACCGAAUAAUGCUCGUCUGAAAUUCUCCCCGUUUCCCUAAGUUGCAGCAGAUUUUGUACUGGGAGAUGGGAGGAUGACUUCUUUUUUUUUUUUUUUAAGAAUUAUUUUCUGUUCACGGUAGUUCCCAUUGUCUCCCUUCUCCCCCAUACUUAAGAAUAUUUAUUCCUGAAGUGUGAGGAUCUGGAGUUUAUUUCCUGGGAGUGUAAUUUCCCAGACAGUUCUUGAGUAGUUUGAAGAAGGUUGACAUGGGCCAGUAAAGAUGGAAGAAAUGGGUCUGAUUGGGGCAGAGGCAGGGGUGAGGUUCCAUAGAGCAAAGCACCCUGUCCUCCCUCUGCUUGGAUCCAAAAGAGCAGCCUGGAGUGGUCACACCCGUCAGCCACGCAGUUUUCCUCCCCUGGGGUAACCCAGGGUUCUCAUUUAAGUAACUCGUGAGUUGAGUUCAAGUCUCAACUCCUGACCCUGUCCUACACUCUCAAGCUAAGUAGGCAGCCAAAUAAUUAUCAAUUUCUUAAAAAAAAAAAAAAAAAAAAAAAAAAAGCUUGAAUCUUGAUCAUAAAGAUAUUUCAGGUUUUAGGUGGUGGUAGAGGGAGACCCAGAAAAUAUCCUAGAUUUCCUGGACUUCAGACUUCAGAUUCCAAUUCUGUAUUCAAUAAUGUGUGACUUCCCUCUUCUUCCUCUCUCUUCUUUUCUCCCUUUCCCCUCUCCCUUUUCCUCCCUUCCUCUCUUCCCUUUCUUUAUGACACAUCACUCCAAGAAUUUCAAGUAUCAAUUAUAAGUAAUAUUAAUUUCUCAGCCCAACCAGUGAAGUGCGG